GAAGGAUGAGAAGCUUCGACUAAGGUUCGACUCGAGCGAAGCGAGAGAACGUUGCCGCAGGCAACGGCCCGAAGGGCGAGGCGCUUUAGCGCCGAGUAAUCCUUCCCCCACCACUG
rnacentral:sRNA from 1 species